CCCGGGUUCAAGCAAUUCUUCUGCCUCAGCCUCCCGAGUAGCUGGGACCACAGGAGCGUGCCUCCAUGCCUGGUCUGGAUACUGUUUUCUAACUUCAGACUUAGAAACAGCCCAUCUACAAGAAGUUCAUAAAGUCUAGCUAACUCCUUUCCUCCACUUGUCAUACGUAAGCUGCCCCCACAUAUGGCUCCAGCUUGCUGCUACCUUGUCCGUGGGAGCAGCCCCUAAUGUGGCCCUGUCUGGCAGCCUUCUCUAAUUCACAACUGUAAGUAGCAGAGAUUUUCCUUUCAUCUAUCUGAGUGUCAGUGUGUUGUGUUAAACCAUCAAGAAGAUCUUUAAAUAUUAAAGAACAUAUUACUCCUUGUUUGUCAU
rnacentral:lncRNA from 10 species